rnacentral:tRNA from 1 species
GCGCCCGUAGCUCAGCUGGAUAGAGUAUCGGCCUCCGAAGCCGAGGGUCGCAGGUUCGAAUCCUGCCGGGCGCGCCA